rnacentral:rRNA from 1 species
UACGUAGGGUGCGAGCGUUGUCCGGAAUUAUUGGGCGGAAAGAGCUCGUAGGCGGUUUGUUGCGUCGGCCGUGAAAACCUGCAGCUUAACUGUGGGCCUGCGGCCGAUACGGGCAGACUUGAGUUCGGUAGGGAAGACUGGAAUUCCUGGUGUAGCGGUGAAAUGCGCAGAUAUCAGGAGGAACACCGGUGGCGAAGGCGGGUCUCUGGGCCGAUACUGACGCUGAGGAGCGAAAGCGUGGGGAGCGAACAGG